GCUCGAGUGGUGGAAUUGGUAGACACGUUGGACUUAAAAUCCAAUGAACAGUAAUGUUCGUGCGGGUUCAAGUCCCGCCUCGAGUACCA
rnacentral:tRNA from 1 species